ACUGAUUUGCUUUCAAGAUUUCCAAACUUGUAGGUAAAUCUGGGAUUUCAAGAAGAUCUUUGCAAUAACUCAAAUCUAACAUUUUAAGCUUGGAGAGUCCACUGAGGCAAGGUCGGCUAUAAAACAAAUUGCCAUCAAGCACCACAAACAACAACAAAGCCUUUUCCCACUAAGUGGGGUCGGCUAUAUGAAUCCUAGAACGCCAUUGCGCUCGGUUUUGUGUCAUGUCCUCCGUUAGAUCCAAGUACUCUAAGUCUUUUCUUAGAGUCUCUUCCAAAGUUUUCCUAGGUCUUCCUCUACCCCUUCGGCCCUGAACCUCUGUCCCGUAGUCACAUCUUCGAACCGGAGCGUCAUUCGGCCUUCUUUGCACAUGUCCAAAUCACCGGAGCCGAUUUUCUCUCAUCUUUCCUACAAUUUCGGCUACUCCUACUUUACCUCGGAUAUCCUCAUUCCCAAUCUUAUCCUUUCUCGUGUGCCCACACAUCCCACGAAGCAUCCUCAUCUCCGCUACACCCAUUUUGUGUACGUGUUGAUGCUUCACUGCCCAACAUUCUGUGCCAUACAACAUCACUGGCCUUAUUGCCGUCCUAUAAAAUUUUCCCUUGAGCUUCAGUGGCCUACGACGGUCACACAACACGCCGGAUGCAUUCUAACACUUCAUCCAUCCAGCUCGUAUUCUAUGGUUGAGAUCUCCAUCUAAUUCUCCGUUCUCUUGCAAGAUAGAUCCUAGGUAGCGAAAACGGUCGCUUUUUGUGAUCUUCGCUAGAUUGCUCCGGUCAUUAGUGUGGAUAAGUAUAUAAAUGGAUAGAGAUAGGAAAGCAAACACAAGAUGUACGUGGUUCACCCAUAUUGGCUACGUCCACGGAAUAGAAGAGUUCUCAUUAAUUGUGAAGGGUUUACACAAGUACAUAGGUUCAAGCUCUCCUUUAGUGAGUACAAGUGAAUGAUUUAGUACAAAUGACAUUAAGGAAAUAUUGUGGGAGAAUGAUCUCGUAAUCACGAAACUUCUAAGUAUCGGAGUGUAGAGUCGUCUUGACUUGCCUUAUCUGUCUCAUAGGUAGAUGUGGCAUCUUCUCUGGAAGUACUCUUCCUCCAUCCAGGGGUGGUAUCUUUAACUGGUGGAGAUGCACAAGGUAAUGUAUCAAUUUCACUUGAAGCUUACUUGUAGUUUCAGGCUUGGUCAAGCGCGAUACAAACCAUGUAGUAGGAGUCCCCCAAGUCGCCGAGCUAGGGGGUCUGCUGAAAGAGGUGACAGACAAGGUAAGCAAUCAGAGCUCCGACUGAUUGUUCACCUUCUCCCCAUCUUGCAGCAGCAUGAAGGAUAAAGAGAAGAAAAAUGAGAAGAGAUGAUAUGAGAUACUUUUGCUUUUGAAGAAGUAACUUUCCACAGGCUUAUUCUUGAACUGAGCUGGAGGGUUUUCUGGUUUCCUCCAGAGUAUAAGGCCGACUGAAGAAUUUGAGGGUCAAAACAAGUCCAUCAAAUCUAGAGUACGUUCCACCCUGCUGAUAUGGGAUACUUUUGCUUUUGACAGAGUAAUGGAUGUAUCGGCACGUGUGCUGUUACGCUUGUCUCCACAUGCUUCCUUGUAUCCUUCGCACUUGCCCUAUCUGUUCCUCAAGCAGAUGCGGAAUCUUCCCUAGAAACAUAAGAUGUUGAAGAUGAGUACUCGAGAGCAAUGCCAGGUAAGUAAUCAGGUAAGGGGUUCCAGGCAGUCAGUUCUUGGCUGGAAGCUUGAUUCCAAGUGCUGACUGAUUGCUCUCUUUCUCCUUGUCUUGCAGGUAAAAACAAGGCCAAAGGAAAAGACAGGGAAAAAGCAUGAUAUGGGAUACUCUUGCUUUUAACCCUGAUGAUAUGAGAUAUUCUUGCUCUAGUAUAGCUUGUUUACAGAGGUAUUAUCGGGGGGAAAGAAAGCUGAAUAUUUCGAAAGGCUUCGUUGGGAGUGUUUUCUCGAAUGUGAGUAAAGGUUGGGAGUGUUUUCUCGAAUGUGAGUAAAGGUUGGGCAUGUUUGCUAGUCUACCUUUCCACGAAGCACAGAGGUUGACACACAGGGACUUUCCAAUUAUCCAGCAAUGGUACUGUUCCUUUACCCUCUCUUCGAUUUUUGAGGAAGUAAUCAUGUUGGGAGUCUGGCUCUCGAGAUUCGGAGGGCGGUGCCUCUUCGAUUUUGGAGCAAGCAAUCUUGUUGGGAGUGUUUUCUCGAAUGUGAGUAAAGGUUGGGCAUGUUUGCUAGUCUACCUUGCCACGAAGCACAGAGGUUGACACACAGGGAGUUUCCAAUUAUCCAGCAGUGGUACUGUUCCUUUACCCUUGUGGGUAAUAAUAUGGUAGCUAGACCUUCAAAAUUUAUGUGUCUAAACUUUGUUAGUGUUGUUUCUUUGCUAUUCUUUUACCUUUCUUGGUCAGAGCGAUGUAGUGGGAGCUGCAAGCUUCACGUGCUCAACUUUGGCAGAGAACUUUGGCAAAGUUAUCUGUGGUACCCAUGAGCUAUUGUUGCGUGUGGGAAGUGGGUGAUUGAACAGUAAGAUUCAUGUGCUUUCUACUUCACCAGAAGUCUUCGACAGAAUGCCCAUAAUUUCUGCAAAGCUGAGUGUGCGUGUGACAGGUGCUGACAAGGCUAGAAAAGUAGGUGCCUCUUCGAUUUCUGAGAUCGGCCCUCGUGGUCUCUGAGCAGCCCAGCUUUUGAGAAAGCGAGCGCCUCUUCGAUUGAUUCGAAGAACGAUGCCUCAUCGAUUUUUGAGAAAGCAGUCACGAUGGGGGUCUGGCUCUCGAAGAUUCGGGGAGCAGUGUCUCUUCGAUUUUUGAGAAAGUAAUCAUGUUGGGAGUCUGGCUCUCGAGAUUCGGAGGGCGGUGCCUCUUCGAUUUUGGAGCAAGCAAUCUUGUUGGGAGUGUUUUCUCGAAUGUGAGUAAAGGUUGGGCAUGUUUGCUAGUCUACCUUGCCACGAAGCACAGAGGUUGACACACAGGGACUUUCCAAUUAUCCAGCAAUGGUACUGUUCCUUUACCCUCUCUUCGAUUUUUAAGAAAGUAGUCAUGUUGGGAGUCUGGCUCUCGAGAUUCGGAGGACGGUGCCUCUUCGAUUUUGGAGCAAGCAAUCUUAUUGGGAGUGUUUUCUCGAAUGUGAGUAAAGGUUGGGCAUGUUUGCUAGUCUACCUUGCCACGAAGCACAGAGGUUGACACACAGGGACUUUCCAAUUAUCCAGCAGUGGUACUGUUCCUUUACCCUUGUGGGUAAUAAUAUGGUAGCUAGACCUUCAAAAUUUAUGGUUCUAAACUUUGUUAGUGCUGUUUCUUUGCUAUUCUUUUUACCCUUCUUGGUCAGAGCGAUGUAGUGGGAGCUGCAAGCUUCACGUGCUCAACUUUGGCAGAGAACUUUGGCAAAGUUUUCUGUGGUACCCAUGAGCUAUUGUUGCGUGUGGGAAGUGGGUGAUUGAACAGUAAGAUUCAUGUGCUUUCUACUUCCCCAGAAGUCUUCGACAGAAUGCCCAUAAUUUCCGCAAAGCUGAGUGUGCGUGUGACAGGUGCUGACAAGGCUGGAAAAGUAGGUGCCUCUUCGAUUUCUGAGAUCGGCCCUCGUGGUCUCUGGGGAGCCCAGCUUUUGAGAAAGCGAGCGCCUCUUCGAAUUUCUGAGAUCGCCUUCGUGGUCUUUGAGCAGCCCAACUUUUGAGAAAGCAAACGCCUCUUCGAUUUCUGAGAUCAACCCUCGUGAUCUCUAAGCAGCCCAGCUUUUUGAGAAAGCAAACGCCUCUUCGAUUUCUGAGCAGGCGCCUCUUCGAUUUCUGAAGCUCCGUCGAGUGCAGAUUUUUAUAAGGGGCUGGCAUUAAGUUCCAAAACACACUUGAAUCUCCACCAGUAGAAGCUUCCAUUCUUGCACUUCUAAGAUCUUGAUUUGUCCGACCUCUUCUCUCUUCAACACCUUUGAAAAUGUCUGGCCCCUCCGACCGUCGUUUUGACUUGAACCUUGUUGAAGAGGCAGCCCCGCCUUCUCCAGACAACAUAUGGCGCCCAUCCUUCGUCUCCCCUACUGGUCCUCUUACCGUUGGGGAUUCCGUGAUGAAGAAUGAUAUGACCGCUGCGGUGGUGGCCAGGAACCUUCUCACUCCCAAAGAUAACAGACUACUUUCCAAACGGUCUGAUGAGUUAGCUGUUAAGGAUUCGCUGGCUCUCAGUGUUCAGUGUGCAGGUUCUGUGUCUAAUAUGGCCCAACGCCUAUUUGCUCGAACCCGCCAAGUUGAAUCAUUGGCGGCUGAAGUGAUGAGUCUCAAACAGGAGAUUAGAGGGCUCAAGCAUGAGAAUAAACAGUUGCACCGGCUCGCACAUGACUAUGCUACAAACAUGAAGAGGAAGCUUGACCAGAUGAAGGAAACUGAUGGUCAGGUUUUACUUGAUCAUCAGAGAUUUGUCAGUUUGUUCCAAAGGCAUUUAUUGCCUUCGUCUUCUGGGGCUGUACCGCGUAAUGAAGCUCCAAAUGAUCAACCUCUGAUGCCUCCUCCUUCUAGGGUUCUGUCCAGUACUGAGGCUCCAAAUGAUCCCCCUCCGGUGCCUUCUCUUUCUGGGGCUCUACCGACUGCUGAGACUUCUCCUAAGCAACCUUUGUGAAGGCUCCCUCUUGUGUGUUUAUUUUGACUCAUGUAUAUGUACAUAUUUGUAGCUUAUCGGGGAUAUCAAUAAAUAAGCUUUCCUUCAUUUCAACGUAUUGUGUUAAAUACACCAAAGCCUUCUUCGCUAAGUUCUUUGAAUUUUCUUUUGUUGAAGCUUGUAUGUUGAAGCUUUCUGAGUGGAGCAUGUAGGUUGGGGUAGUGUUCCCUUAAUUUUCCGAGUGAGGAAAACUUCUCGGUUGGAGACUUGGAAAAUCCAAGUCACUGAGUGGGAUCGGCUAUAUGAAUCUUAGAACGCCAUUGUGCUCGAUCCUGUGUCAUGUCCUUCGUUAGAUCCAAGUACUCUAAGUCUUUUCUUAGAGUCUCUUCCAAAGUUUUCCUAGGUCUUCCUCUACCCCUUCGGCCCUGAACCUCUGUCCCAUAGUCGCAUCUUCUAAUCGGAGCGUCAGUAGGCCUUCUUUGCACAUGUCCAAACCACCGUAACCGAUUUUCUCUCAUCUUUCCUUCAAUUUCAGGCUACUCCUACUUUACCCCGGAUAUCCUCAUUCCUAAUCUUAUCCUUUCUUGUGUGCCCACACAUCCAACGAAGCAUCCUCAUCUCCGCUACACCCAUUUUGUGUACGUGUUGAUGUUUCACCGCCCAACAUUCUGUGCCAUACAGCAUCGCCGGCCUUAUUGCCGUCCUAUAAAAUUUUCCCUUGAGCUUCAGUGGCAUACGGCGGUCACACAACACGCCGGAUGCACUCUUCCACUUCAUCCAUCCAGCUUGUAUUCUAUGGUUGAGAUCUCCAUCUAAUUCUCCGUUCUUUUGCAAGAUAGAUCCUAGGUAACGAAAACGGUCGCUCUUUGGUAUUUCUUGAUCUCCGAUCCUCACCCCUAACUCGUUUUGGCCUCCAUUUGCACUGAACUUGCACUCCAUAUAUUCUGUCUUUGAUCGGCUUAGGCGAAGACCUUUAGAUUCCAACACUUCUCUCCAAAGGUUAAGCUUUGCAUUUACCCCUUCCUGAGUUUCAUCUAUCAACACUAUAUCGUCUGCGAAAAGCAUACACCAAGGAAUAUCAUCUUGAAUAUGUCCUUGUUAACUCAUCCAUUACCAACGCAAAAAAGGUAAGGACUUAAGGAUGAGCCUUGAUGUAAUCCUACAGUUAUGGGAAAGCUUUCGGUUUGUCCUUCAUGAGUUCUUACGGCAGUCUUUGCUCCUUCAUACAUAUCCUUUAUAGCUUGGAUAUAUGCUACUCGUACUCCUUUCUUCUCUAAAAUCCUCCAAAGAAUGUCUCUUGGGACCCUAUCAUACGCUUUUUCCAAAUCUAUAAAGACCAUGUGUAAAUCCUUUUUCCCAUCUCUAUAUCUUUCCAUCAAUCUUCGUAAGAGAUAGAUUGCCUCCAUGGUUGAGCGCCCUGGCAUGAACCCGAAUUGGUUGUCCGAAACCCGUGUCUCUCUUGCCUCAAUCUAUGCUCAAUGACUCUCUCCCAGAGCUUCAUUGUAUGACUCAUUAGCUUAAUACCCCUAUAGUUCAUGCAAUUUUGUACGUCGCCCUUAUUCUUGUAGAUAGGCACCAAAGUGCUCGUUCGCCACUCAUUUGGCAUCUUCUUCGUUUUCAAAAUCCUAUUGAAAAGGUCAGUGAGCCAUGUUAUAUACCUGUCUCUCCCAAAAGUUUUCCACACUUCGAUUGGUAUAUCGUCUGGGCCUAUUGCUUUUUAUGCUUCAUCUUCUUCAAAGCUACAACCACUUCUUCCUUCCGGAUUCGACGAUAAAAAGAGUAGUUUCUCUACACUCUUCUGAGUUACUCAACUCCCCUAAAGAAGCACUCAUUUUCAUGUCCUUCAUUGAAAAGAUUAUGAAAAUAACCUCUCUCCAUCUGUCUUUAACCGCGUUCUCUGUAGCAAGAACCUUUCCAUCCUCAUCCUUGAUGCACCUCACUUGGUUUAGGUCCCUUGUCUUCUUUUCCCUUGCUCUAGAUAGUUUAUAGAUAUCCAACUCUCCUUCUUUGGUAUCUAGUCGUUUAUAUACAUAUCGUCGUAAGCCGCUAACUUAGCUUCUCUGACAGCUUUCUUCGCCUCUUGCUUCGCUUUUCUAUACCUUUCACCAUUUUCAUCGGUCCUCUCCUUGUAUAAGGCUUUACAACAUUCCUUCUUAGCCUUCACCUUUGUUUGUACCUCCUCAUUCCACCACCAAGAUUCCUUUUGGUGUGGGGCAAAGCCCUUGGACUCUCCUAAUACCUCUUUUGCUACUUUUCGGAUACAACUAGCCAUGGAAUCCCACAUUUGGCUAGCUUCCCCCUCUCUAUCCCACACACAUUGGGUGAUUACCUUCUCUUUGAAAAUGACUUGUUUUUUCUUCUUUUAGAUUCCACCAUCUAGUCCUUGGGCACUUCCAAGUCUUGUUCUUUUUGUCUUACUCUUUUGAUAUGUACAUCCAUCACCAACAAGCGAUGUUGAUUAGCCACGCUCUCUCCUGGUAUAACUUUGCAAUCCUUACAAGUUAUACGAUCCCCUUUCCUCAUUAGAAGAAAAUCUAUUUGUGUUUUUGACGACCCACUCUUGUAGGUGAUCACAUGUUCUUCUCUCUUCUUAAAGAAGGUGUUGGCUAAGAAGAGAUCAUAUGCCAUUGCAAAAUCCAAGAUAGCUUCCCCAUCCUCGUUUCUCUCCCCAAAACCAUGGCCACCAUGAAAACCUCCAUAGUUGCCUGUCUCCCUGCCCACGUGUCCAUUUAAAUCUCCUCCUAUAAAUAACUUCUCCUCCGUUUGAGCAAUUCCUUGCACCAAGUCUCCAAGAUCUUCCCAAAAUUUCUCCUUCGAACUCGUAUCCAACCCUACUUGAGGUGCGUACGCACUAAUCACAUUGAUAAGUUCUUGUCCUAUUACAAUCUUGAUUGCCAUGAUUCUAUCUCCUACCCUCUUGACAUCUACAACAUCUUGUACCAAGGUCUUGUCCACGAUGAUGCCAACACCGUUUCUCGUUCUAUUUGUGCCCGAAUACCAAAGUUUAAACCCUGAGUUUUCUAGAUCCUUUGCCUUACUACCAACCCACUUAGUUUCUUGUAGGCACAUAAUAUUUAUCCUUCUCCUCACCAUAACUUCCACUACUUCCAUAGAUUUUCCCGUUAAGGUUCCUAUAUUCCACGUUCCUAAACGCAUUUUGCUCUCUUGAACUCUACCCUUCUGUCCUAGCUUCUUCACCCUCCCCCGUCUAAUAAGAUCAAAGUACUUCUUUUGUGUGUCCCGGGUAAAGUUGAUAGGAGCAUAUGCUCCCAAACAACUUUGAGUGGAGUCGUUUGAAAAGAAGUUUCUAUGGCCCCCUUGCUCAUUUAACACUGCAUCCGGGUGCCGAUGGAGAUACAGCGACCCUUGCUCACUUAUCACUGUGCUCGGGCCACACAGCGCGCCACUUACGGGUGACGCCCUAGCUUUAGCGUGAUUUUGUUCUGGAUUCAUUUUCAUAAGGAUUCGACGUGAUCAUGGAGUGCCGGCUGUCGACUACCUGACGCCCUCCCCCUCCUCCUUUAUCCGGGCUUGGGACCGGCCAUGUAAGACAUAGGCGGAGUUUUGCCAUCAAGCUCCAAUAUUUCUAAAUAAAAAUAGACUACCAAGAUCCUUAGGGAUGGAAUCAUCAGUUAAAUUGCAGUUUCCAAGACCUAAAAAUGUCAACGAAGGGCGCAAAAGAUUACUUGAUGGUGACCCUCUCAAACCCCAUAGAAAUAAAGAUGUCAGGUUCUUCAAUCUUGCAAUUGAAGAUGGAUCUUGGCUUAUCAUUGUAUCCGACACGUCGACCUAGAUCCUUUGGGAUGGAAUCAAGUAGAAGAGAGAGCAAAUACCUGGCUUAUCAUUGCCAUCAAGCUCCAAUAUUUCUAAAUAAAAUAGAAGAGAGAAAGCAAGAUAUUGGUAUUCACAGAAGCUGAAGAAAAUAAUAAAUAAUUUGUUUGAGAUCAUAUUAUACCACGUCAGUGUCCUCACAAACUCGUAUGAGUUUGCUAUAGCUCAAGUCAAUAGCAACUAGGUUUGGUUGAUAGAAAUCGUCAGGUAUGACCUUCGGAGGAAAUCCAUGCCAACAUAACCAUCUUAAAUCCUUGGAAAGAUGGUGGUAACUUCCAGUGAGCUUUAUGUUUUUGAGUUUGAGCAAUCUCAGACUCAGCAUGUUUCUAAAUGAUUCUGAACUGAAGCUACGCGUGUCAAACUGUUGUAUAUCUAAAGCAAGUUAACUUAUUGAAAGACCAUGAAAUUCACCAUUUUCCCUAAUAUAGGCCUUUAUACACCAAAAAAUGGGAGGUCUAUCAGCUGAGCACUUAACUGUUAGAAAGCAGGAAAUUAAGCAUUGCCCUUGAACGUUUGUGUUCAAGAGUCUAACAUGUCUUGCUCUGCAUCUUCUGAAGCUGAAAGGCCACUCACUUCUUCUUUGUCAUCCUCCCAGUCACUGUCUUCCAAUUGAGGACUCUCGGACCUCUUCUCUGACUCUGCCCCUUGCCUUCUCAUGUGUUCUGAAAUAUUUCACGAAAGCAAACAAUUAAAGACCGGGGGCAUGUAUAGUCUGGGGAAUGUGAGGCAAGAGAAGAGGAAAACUUACUUUUAUUGGUAAUUGCGUGACGAGUCAUGACCAAGAAUUCAUCCCACUUGAAUUUCCUGAGUUCUUGCUUCUCCUCCUCAGAAAGCUCAAAAUUUGGUUCCCUCCCACACAUGAAAGCAGCCCUGAACACAAAUAACAAAACCAACAAAGUUUAUAUGGCAUAUAAUUUAUUGCAUUUGACACACAAAGCUUACCACCCAUUUUCCCAUUUGGCUUAUCAAGUUUCAUGUUUUUGAAUGUCGGGGGAUUGACACGAACCACUAUAUCAUGUUGAUAAUGCAGACACAACAGACCUUCAGGUUUUAAAAAAUAAAAAACCAGAAGUAACAUAAAAAAGGACACAGGUAACCACUGGUUGGAAUGAACAUAUAGGAUGGCAUGUUCUAUCUGGUGACCCUGUCCAAAGAACGUGAACAAAAAAAACCAGUGUAGCAACAGUGAAAACUAAGAUUGUUUUACUUGGUGUAUCUAAAAACAUGAUGACGAACCACUAAACAAGAGAAGGCAUUCGGUAGUCGAUAGACAAAGGAAAACUGCAAUGGUUUAUGAUUUUCAAUAUUAUGCACUACUGAAAGAUCUUGUAUCUGCUGAUCUUUCCUUAUAGUGCUCAUCCAAUAAAAAUUGUUCGUAGUGAAAAAAAUGUGAUCGUACCUGUCGUACAAAUGAGCAGCCUCUUCUUGGGAACCAACAGUGCCCAAGUGGAUUUGUUUCUUGUCAACUUUUAUUGCUGCAUGCCACUUCAUAUUCUUAAAAUACACACCUCUCAGUAGACUUGGUUCCUGGUUUUGAGCAUACUUUCUGCGAUGUUGCUUUCUGUGUUUGACUGGUGGCCCUGAAAAUAGCAUAUUAUGUUUUAGAAACGAGCAACCUGUAACACAGGCCUCUCAAGCUAAUUGUAAUGGAUAAACGUAUAUGUUAUUUUUAAUACUUCCAUUAUCAAGAUUCAAGAAUAUGCCGUGUGCAGGAGGCCUAGGCAAAUAUACAGAAUUACUGCAAAAUCAAGAAUAUGCUGUGUGCCAAAAUAUUUCUAUAGGCAAAUAUACCAAAAGUUGAAAAUAACUGCAAAUUAAAAAUCUUGCAUCUUCUCUGAGAAGACAAUCAUGAAGUUCCUCAUAACGUAAAGACAGAAAAUACAAGUUUCAAAAGGAUGAGUUCGCAAAUUUGUGGUCCAAUAGUCCAAGACAUCCAGCAUUCUAAUCUAUGAAUAUGUAAUUAGAAAUGAUAGAAAAUUUAAUUUAAACAACAAACCUGCCACAUCGUGCUGCUCUUCGGAUAAGCUAAAACCAGAUGCAAUGAAGGAACGAGGUUCUGCUUUCACAAUGGUAUUCUGGUAAUAAGUAAAGCAUCAGAUAGAAUGAAACUAAGAAGCUAAGAAAUGAUUGAAAUGAAUCCAGAACUGAAAUGAAAUAUCCCAAAUAGAGCUUUUGAUUUCCUAUUUAUGGUAUAUAUUUUUACUUUUUUUUCUGAACACAUUCCUUACUAAAAAAUGCUACUUUUUAGCUUUUUUGAUAAGCAACUAUGAAUUAAGAGCAUACUGGAUCACAAAACCAGGUUUAGGGGCACCAACAUCUCUAAGGGUUUACUGCUUAUAGAAAUGCUAUUCUUACUUUGAAUGAGAUAUUGUUAUUUUAUAAACCGUACUUAGGUCUUAUAUGGCGAUCAUUGCCAUCUUACCAUUUUUCUCUCGGUACCCUGCUAAGCUUACUUCACGUUAAAAAGCAAUAUUACGCCAUUGAGACAUUCUGCCUGCGGAUUUUUGUUCUAAAUUAUAUAUAUGGAACUUUUCUCUUACCAUACAUACAUGUAUAUUAACAAAAAACGUAGAAAUCCUGUCUGACGAGUGUCCUAAACAAGCUAAUAAAACCUUCAAACAAAACAGUACCCCAUAUAAUGUAUGUAUUUAAUGAUCGAUUGAUCAACAAUCUUUUCUUACCCCAUCUGGUUGAUUUGCAUCAUUCAAAGGCAUGGGAUGCACAGUGACAGGAUUUGUACGGGGUUUCGAGGAUAGGUAGGAUGGACUUAGCACUCCAACAACUGGGCCAGUGACCUUUAGUGGAACAGGGUUGUCCUCGCUGAAUUCAAGAGAUGUCCAGUGUAACGGUUCAGCUUUAGCCAGGCGAAUUUCAACUUUGGUGGACAGAACGUCAAAUCUGCACAUUUCAGGUAUUAUCUUUCCAAAUAAGCGGGUCUGAAAAUGAUAUGUAUCUUCACCAGCAACAUCAAUGCUAACACCUAGUUUUUGUUCACCAAAGUCAACAUUAACGUCUUUGGCUGAUAUGCCCUCAGCGAAUAUAGUCACAACCACUUCUUCUGGCUUCUGGUAGAAUGCAGGCCUGUAUUUUGGUUUGACAUAUGUAGUGGUCACCUGAUUGGAAGGUUGACUCGCAGGCUGAACAUUUUUUGCAGGUAUAACAUUCUCUGUAAUGUUUUUCUCCAAUGAAGCCGUUGGUAGAACAGCAGUUUCCUCUGCAAUUUUCUCAUCACACUCUUUUAUCAAAUUAGCGAAUCUUGUCUCAUGUGGGGCCAAAGGAGCACCAAUUUCCAGGGUUGCCUUUGCAGUCUGAUAUUCCUCGAGCUUGAUGCAGGCAAUUCCUUUGCGCAAAUACGCUUUGUACAAUAAUGGAUCGAACUCGAUUGCCUUGUUCGCAUCCGCAACAGCCUCAGUGAGAUUGCCGGAUUUGAUGUUGGCCUGCGCGCGGUUGGUGUAGAGCUCGGCGCUCUGAGGGUUGAAAGCAAUGGCAUGGGUGUAGAGGUCAACGGCCAACUUGAAGCAGUCGUCGAUGAACGCCUCAUUGGCACACUUUUCGAGAUCGGAAGCCAUGGGCAGACAACCGUCCAUGUGGACCGAGGGAGAUGGAAGAGUCUAGAAAAACAAAAAAAGUAUACAACUAUGGUUAAUUGUUGAUUUCUUUACAUAGAUGAGAAACUAAAUACAAUGUAUAAUAUUUAAGGAAAAAAAAAUACAUUGAUAAACCAAUAAAUUAUUAAUUUACCGAUUAUUUAAUAUUCCGCUAUAUUAAUAGUCUUCAUUGGUCUCAAGGCUAUUUAUUUAUAGAAGUUUAAUUAUAUAUACAACAACAACAAAGUCUUUUCCCACUAAGUGGGGUCGGCUAUAAUUUGGCAAAUAUACGAUAUAACUCUAAUAAUUUCGGAAGUACAAACCUCUUCAGAUGAAUUAUUUCUUGGUACAGCACCAAUCUCCUCAAUGCUAGUGUAUUUGUCACCGGCAUUACCAUCAUCCCAGACUAGAUUAAUUCCUGUUUUCAUCACUCUCCCUAUUACUCUCCCUCUCCCAUGAGCCUUUGUAACUGCAGAAAUCGAGACUUCGUCUCCACUUUGCAAAUGGAGUACAUCAUUUGAUAAUACACUUUGCAAACGGAGUACACUAUCAGCUACCCAGCAGGUAGAUUCUUCCCAGGUGUGCAAAGCCUUACGCUUGGUAAUAUUUGUAACAGUAAAUCCCGGACAAUAUGUUUCGAAAACACAGCACACAGUCAAUCCUCUAAAAUUACAAGGCACUUUAAAACGAACAUCAUUGGGCUCAUGAAUACCAACAAUCUGGAACCACUCCGGAAUAUCAUAAAUUCCAUUGAGAAAAAUGUCACCAUGUCCGCAAGAAGUCCAUCCCUAGAGCAUACCACGUAAAGCCAGAUUAAUUUGUAUAAGCAAGUCUUAAUUAUGCAUGCGUGUCAUGAACAUGUACAGUACAGGGGCCUCUGUGGGAGUGUGAUAGAAAGAGGAAGAGAAUAUGUCUCUCAGAGGGAGAUCUGUAGGAUGUUCUUCCUAAAACUCAGCAUGUACAUGUCAUUAUUAUGCAUACGAAAUACAUUCUUGUACAUGCAUGUUUUUGGUGUGUUUGUGUGGAUAUGUGUGUGUGUCUGUGAGGGAGAGAGAGAGAGAGAGAGAGAGAGAGAGAGAGAGAGAGAGAGAGAGAGAGAGAGAGAGAGAGACCUGUAUGAUGUUCUUCCUAAAAUCAGCAGUGAGAUUGGUGCAGCCUUCCAUAUGAAUCCUUCUCAUAGUGUGUAACGACUUAUGCAAGCCUAGAAUCUCACUGAGUUUGGGGGAGUGAUUUAGAUGCAGUUCUACCAUACUUGACAUUUCUGAAAAAUUUGGCAGUUUUGCGAGUGCAAUGCACUGAUUCGCUCUCAAGAUUUCCAAACUUCUUGGUAAAUCCGGGAUUUCAAGAAGAUUUUUGCAAUAACUCAAAUCUAACAUUUUAAGCUUGGAGAGUCCACUGAGGCUAGGUAGGCUAUAAAACAAAUUGCCAUCAAGCUCCAAUAUUUCUAAGGAAAAUAGACUCCCAAGAUCCUUAGGGAUUGCAUCAUCAGUUAAACCACAGUUUCCAAGACCUAAAAGUGUCAAAGAAUUUAAGCCAUGCAAUGAAAGGAGCACAGAUCUCAGGUUCUUCAAUCCUGUUAUUGAGGAUGGUAAUUUCCUUGUCAUUGUAUGGCUUGCUUGAGGUGUUGUCGAUGAUACCAUCUCCCCCUUGUCCUUCAGUUUUAUAAAUCCUGUACAGCCUUUAAGAAUAAGAGUCUCAACUGAUUUUGACUUACAGAAAUCCCCUGGAAAAUACUGAAGCGUUUUGCAGUCUUCAAGAUUUACCAAUGAAAGUCUUUCAAGAUGCCCAAUAGAUGGGUGAAUCUUAGACAAUCUUACACAGUUUACCAAUAUCAGUUUUUCAAGAUUUGGGACUUUGGAAAGAUCUGGUGAUUCUGUUAGGUAAUGGGAAUGACUGAGAUUGAUGAUUUUCAGAUUCUUGAGCAGCUGCUGGGGGAAAAAAAAAAAAAAAAAAAAAAAAAAAAACAGAACACAAAAUAGAAAUUCAAAUAGAAGAGAGAGAAAGCAAGAUAUUGGUAUUCACAGAAGCUGAAGAAAAUAAUUAAUAAUUUGUUUGAGAUCGUAUCAUACCACGUCAGUAUCCACCCAAACUUGUAUGAGUUUGCUAUAGCUCAGGUCAAUAGCAACUAGGUUUGAUUGAUCGAAAUCUUCAGGUAUGACCUUCAGAGGAAAUCCAUGCCAACACAGCCAUCUUAACUCUUUGGAAAGAUGGUCGUAACUUCCGGUGAGCUUUAUGUUAUUGAGUUUGAGCAAUCUCAGACUCUGCAUCUUUCUAAAUGCUUCUGUACUGAAGCUACACUCGUCAGACUCUUGCAUAUCCAAAGCGAGUCCUUCAACGUCUUCUGUUCCCUAUUACAAAAAAUAGUUGAAAAUUGAAAACAAACCAACAACAACAACAACAACAGAGGAACUAAGAAAAGGGUUAUAUGCAAGUGAAAAGGUGAUUAAUUCAUACAUCAGAACCACAAGGCCUUGAAUUGGAUGGAUGAACCACAUGAGAGGUGGACAAUUACACAAUAUAGAACAUGGGACCUCUCAUAGGCAACUUUUAUUAUAUAUCUACUAUAAUAUGCUUAUAUGUCUGGAUUAUAACCAUAAAGUUGUACUUUACAUCUGUCUACAUUAAUUAGGUAUCUUUAGCAAGCUUCUGUUACAGGUAUCAUAAUUCACAAAUUGUACUUAACCAGAGGAGGACAUGUGUGAUUCUGUUAUUUAAUUUGAGAUGAUUCAAUACAAAAAGCUCCUUUUUUGUCUCUUACAGUUUCCUUUCUCUGCUACAUUAGUACAUGCAUUUAACAUCAAAUUUAAUUGCAAAAGUACUCACAGAUUGCUUCGUCAAUACGUCUGUUAUAUCUUCAUUAUACCACAAUCUACUACGUUCUCCAGGAUUGUCAGGGGAUUCUGCACGCACGAUUUCUCUGCCCAUGCCUUGAAUCAAAUCAUGCAUCAUGAGAUUGCCUUCUUUAUCAACAGUUACAAGGCAUUGAUCUUGGAGUUCUCGAAUCCCUAUUUCUGGAUAAAACUGACAGCCAUCCAGUACUGUCAUGACAUAGUCCUUGUUCAUUCCAGUAAAGAAACAAGAGAUGUCAAGGAAUAUAGCCUUCACGUCAUCAUCAGUUAGCCCAUCAUAGCUUAUUUCAAGUCUUCUGUGAAUUUCCCGAUAAGGCUGUGAUCUUUUCCAUUUAUCCAGUACAGUUUCCCAUUCACUUGUGCUUCCUGUACGUAUAUAAGAACCUAAGACUUCAAGUGCUAGUGGCAAACCUCCACAGUAGCCAACAGCCUUUCUUGAGAGCUCAAUAUACUCUUCAUUAGGAUAAUUGUUUCUAAAGGCAUGCCAACUAAGUAGUUCAAGAGCUUCUCCUUCAUUCAUUGCUGGCAGAGGACAUAUCUUAUCCACAUUAAUUAUCUUUAGCAAAUGUUCGUUUCUUGAAGUUAUAAUGAUUCUGCUCCCUGGACCAAAGGAGUCAGGUUUAUAGCCAAAGCAUCUCUUUGUUGAACGCUGUCUAAAUCAUCAAUUACGACAAGUACCCUUCUGUUGCCUAACCUUUGUUUUAUCUCCUUGGUCCCUUCAUUGAUACUACUUACCAAUAUGUAGGCCGGUUUCAAGAUAUCAGAAAUAAGUUUUUUUUGCAAAUCAACCAGUUUCUCUUCGCUCGCAGUUUCAAGGAAACUUGCACCGUCAAAACUAUGAUGAUGUUUGUUGAAAACGGCUUUUGCAACCGUUGUCUUACCCAGUCCACACAUACCCAAAAUUCCAAUUAUGCGAACAUCAUUUGAUCCUCCAACAUCUAAAUGCUUACUAAUUUCUCGCACACGAGAAUCUAUUCCAACUAGCUUCGUAGGUACCACUAAGCGAUUGUUUCUGCUCAGUUUUCCAGUGAUCUGAGAAACAACGUUCCUGAUAAAAUUUCCUUCAUUCCUGGUUGUUAAAAUUCAACAAAGCAAAAGUAAAAAUUUAUUAUGCGACUUCAAGAUCACAUUAAUCUUUCAGAAAUUGACGAGUCAAAAUCUCCAGAUACUAUUACAAUUUCCUAAACUGAAAUCUUGGUUGUUAAAUUUCAACAAGGCAAUUAUUACCGAUUAUUUUUUUAUUGUGUAUAUCGAUAUUUUACACUAAGAAGAAGAGAGGGAAUUCGGCUAGGUCACACAAUAAGCAACAUAAUUUGGUAUCGAAUUCGCCAUCCACGAUAUUCCAACAUAAGAUCUCUCGCUUAUAAGUGAAGAGUUAUACCAUCAAAUCCUAGUAUUGAGUGGCUAGAUAAGCCUGAUAUAAUCAUUACUUAUACAUAAAUAAAUAAAAUGGAAGGGAAAUUUCAGCCACACAAAGUAAAGAAAAUAAAAAGGAAAUAAGAAAGUAAUUACCCGGCAGAUUUGGUUCCAACAACGUCAGUCUGUCGAAAAUUGAAUCCGGCCAAACUUCCAGCUUCCUUAAGAGCGUUUCUCCAGAGAAGUACCUUUUCUUCCUUAACUUCCUGUUCAUAUUUCUGAAACGCCUGUGCAAAACUACCACUCUGGUUCAGGACAUCUGAGGAAUCAACACCAUAGAAGAUUGGAAAAACCAUUUGACCCAGUGUUUUUCUGCACUCCAUGAUCUUCACCAGCUCCUCGAGACACCACGCGGACUCUGGAUACCCUCUUGAGAAGACGACGACGGCAACCUUAGACCUUUCGAUUUUUUGAAUCAGGUGUUCUGGUAUAGCUCUAUUACUUUUUUCUAGCUUGUAAUCGUAUUCGUCUCCGUACAUGAAGACGUUGAAUCGGUGGUCUUCUAAUGUACAGUAGAGGUGGUCCGUGAAGGUCGUGCGUGUGUCUUCACCUCCAGAACUCAAGAACACGUCGUACAUCGGAUCGUCUUUGGAGGAUGAAUCCAUCAAUUGUUACUCCAGGAUGUCUUGGCAGGCAGCACAGAUCAAAUUUGAGAUCUACAGACAACCGUAAGGGCAAAGUAAACUCAAAACUCCGAAAAGAAAAGUGGGAACUGGCAAGUGACAAGUCAAUUACGAUCGAUCCCACCCAUUUUAUUUUUUGAUCCAACGGUAUCAAAAAGCUCAAGGAAGAAAAAAAAAAUUUAACCAAUUUUUUUAAGAGAAUUUUAACUAAAAGCUACCGGUACGGUUUACUUUAACGAAAAAUCAUAUUUUUACACUAAAAAAAUCAAUCAUCGUACUUUUUAUUUUAUCCUUUAUUUUGUUCCUAUCGUUAAAAAUUAAAGUUUUUAAACCAUUUUCAUUAGUUUUCUUUUUUUUUAAAGACAAAAUAACACCUAUCCUUCCUAGAAAAAAAAAUAAAAAUAAAAAAUCCAACUGUCACCCAAGGGCCAAGAGCCAAAAGACACAAGCUGUGUGAAAGGUGCUAAAUCGUCUCACUCCUUACUUUAGUUUAGUACAAGACUGGACCUUUGUAUCAAGGAAAACGAUAGAUUGCCGAUGAACUAAACCACCUAAAAAAAUCUAUGACAACUUUAAAGAAGGAAAAAAAUAUCUAUGACAAUUUGAAGAAAGCAGAUGGCAAAUCAAACAGUAAACACUGAAUUAAAAACAAUAAACUCAUCCAUACAUCCAGCUCCCAUCUCUCUCAAAUCUGUCAGUCCCUCAAAGUCACCCAUACCUCCCUCAGUCACCCCUUCCUGACCGGCCAACCCCACAAACUGCACACAACCAUGCCUUCCCCUCUCUCUCUCUCUCUCUCUCUCUCUCUCUCUCUCUCUAAAAUCAGAGGAAACCUCAUAGAUCCUGGCAGAUGACGUAGAUAAAUCUCUCUCUCAUUGAGUCGAAAGCCCUAACACCCAUAUCUCUCCAAUAUGUCACUCCCCCUGUCCUCCCCUAACCACCCGAAGCACAGCCAUCUCUCCCCGAGUCAAAAUUGGCGGCCCUCACUCUCUCUCCAUUCUAUCAGCUCUUAUCUCUCUCAAAUCUGCAGGUGACUCCUCUCUGUGGGUGAUUGUGUGCCCAAACCCCAUUUCCAUCCGCCCAAUACAAAUCCAACCAAGCAAAUAAAACCCCAUCCAGAGCCUAAACCCACAAAGCCCAUUUUUUAAAGGAAUGGCAUGCCCGUAAAUAAAAUGAAAUUCGAACCCAAACACUAUUCAUUUCUAUAGUGCUAAUUCCAAUGCUUUCCUUAGACUAAAGUAAUUUUAUUUUAUGGGUUAAUAUCAGUUUAUUACUCUAAUAUUUAGUGGUUUUCAACAUUUGGUAUAUGAAGUUUUUUUCAUCUCAGAGUCAUACCUCAAGUCUUAAUUUUGGAGCAGUCUCGUACUUUCGUUAGUCAUUCUGUUAAGGACUCUGUUAAAACGUGAUGUGGCACUUGAUUGGGCAACGACAAUGCAAAAUGUGGCACUGUGGGCUCCACAUAGACCUAUAAAACAAUUAGAUAAUUAAAUAAUAUUUUUUGCCUACCUUUUCUCCAGUAAGAAGAACAAAUAAAUAAAAAAUAAAAAUAUUAUAACUCCCAUCUUCUCAAAGUCUUUAAGCUUGUUUGGAUGUAUUUUUAAAAUAACUGAAAGCGCUUUUGGUGAAAAUACUUUUGAAAACUAUCCUUAGUAAAAAUGUUAGUAAAUUCUUGAAAAGUACUUAGGGUGCGUUUGUUGCACCGGACUGUCUCGGACUGGACUAGCUUCAGGGACUAAGCUGGACUAACUUAAUGAAAAGUUUGGUGCAGUGUCGGACUAAGAAGCAAAAUAAUAAUAAAUUCUAAUAUUAUAUAGUUUAAUUCAUAAUUUAUUCCUAAUUCUAGAAACCUCUCCGUCCAUCAACCUCUGUUUUUAUUCCUCAUUUUUCUCAGUCCCACCCUCAUCCUCUUUCUCUACCCUCUCCCUCUCUGCCUCCUAUCUCAAGUCGUGGAAAAGGAAGAAACUUGCUCUAAUUCUCCUGCACUUGAGCUUCCAAGAAGGACCCAAAGUCUUGAGCGAUUUGUAUUUCUUUUUUUUUUUUGUUUUUUUGUCAAUUCACUGUCAUUUUCCCAGGCCCCAGAUCCGGCCGACCCAGACUCUUUUCGUAGUUGGAGCUAACGAUUUGAGACAUGUUGGGGGAGUUGGUGUGUUGAGUCGACGAUUCAACGGCGGAGGUUGUGAAAGUCCAAGCUUUUCCGAUGUAUGUGCGGCAAGACACGCGGUGAUUCAACUACGGAGUCAUCGAGCUUUUUUUUGGAAAAAUCAAACCCGUUUUCUGGUGGAGUUGGUGAAGGGAAGCAGACGAGCGACAGAGGAACGAAGCAAGUCUUAGUUUGUCCCAUGGUUUUCGGGGACUCUAACUAAGAACCUCUAGUGACGCUGUCAGUCCCGAUGAGUCCGGGCUAAUCUCAUUAAUCUUAGCCCCGCAUGAUAACAAACACUGGACUAAACCAAAAGUUAGUCCAGUCUGGUCCAGUGAAACCUAGUGAAGCAAAACAAACGGGCCCUUAAAGUGUUUCCAGGGAGAAGCACAUAACUGGUGCUUCUUGUAGAAAGCACUUAAAGUGCUUUUGGAACUCAAAAAUAUUUUCUUUAAAAGUGCUUUCAAUCAUUUCAAAAGCACAUCCAAACGAGCCCUUUAUCACCUACAACUUCUCCAACCACCCCUACAUCUCCUCCGACAACCACGCUUCCCUAGCCGCCAUUUUUCACACACCUAGAACCUAAAUCCUCCAUUUUCCUCACUGCCUCCAUCUCAUCCUUCGACUCUUUCGCUACCAUAGUUAUCUCCUUCACCAAACCCACAACCUCUAUCGCUGGCAUAGCUGUCGAUUACGGCGAUCCAGAUCCGAAAACCUUAUGGAAGAUUCCACGACAUGUUGAAUAUGGCCACGAUAGUGAUCGAAUGCUCGGAUUUGGCUACGGCGAUGAGUGAGUUGUCUGGGAUCGGGAACCCCAACUGGAUUGGGACAAAACGACGACUUCAGAUCUUGGCUUCGUCUGUACAAUUAGGCAAUUAGGAACCGAUUCUUUGAACCAUGAGGGAUCCAAAACCUUGGCGACGUCUUCAGAUCUCGGUCUCGAUGGCGAAGAUGAGCUAUUGGAAAUAGCUCGUUGUCGCGGACCAGAUCCAUUGCGAAAUAGAUCUUGGACUUGCUUGCCAUGACCUUUUUAGAGUUGGAUGAUGUUGGGUGCUUCACCAUCCUCAUCACAAAGGACGAUGUUGGGGUUCUUUUUUAGGUUUUAGGUUUUAAAUUUUUUAAUGUUUAAUUUUUAUAUUUUUUUAUUUUAAAAAAAAUUAAUAUCCAUGUAGGUCAUAUUGACAUGUGGCGUCUAUUCAUUGUCUACAUAAAUGCCACAUCACCAGUUAAUGACUUUCUUAACAAAAAGACUAACAGAAAUAUGAGACUGUCCCAAAAUUAAAACUUGAGGUAUGACUCUGGGAUGAAAAAAAACUUCAUGUACCAAAUGUUGAAAACCAGGAAAUAUUAGGGUAGUAAACUGAGAUUAACCCUUGUUUUAUAUUAUGAAUACUUUACUCACUCCUUACUUAGUUUAGUGUUUUAUAUUAUGAAUAUUUUAUUAGGUAGAUACAGGUCGGGCAAAGCAGACACUCUGCACUCUCAAUCAAGGUUCUAAAAAACGUUAGGCGCUAGUCGGGCGGUGGGCUGGCGCCUAGCGCCUAGCGCCUAGGCGGCUAAGACCAUCUCCAACCGAAGGGUCUAGAGGGCCAGAGGGCCGAAAAUAGCCCUAAAACCGUCUCCAACCGAGGGUUAGGCUAGAGGGCUCGGGAAUCUGGGAGGGCCCCACGGGAUCGGAGAGGGCUGGAGGGCUGGAGGGCUGGCUGCUUUCGGCCAGCCAGCCAGCCUCGGGCUGGCUAUUUUUUUUUUAAUGUUUCUUAUUUCUGUCGGUUACAACCGACAGAAAUAACAUUUUGAAUUCAAACUUCCAACGGCUAGCGCCACUAGCCGUUGUAAAUCCUUUUUUUUUUUUUUAUGAAUUUAAACCUUUUUUUUCUUUUUUUUUCUAUAACUUCCUAUAACUUCUAUUUUACAAAAUUUGUUUCAAUUUUUUUUUAAUUCUAUUUUUUUUCCUAUAACUUAUAUUUUACAAAAUUUGGUUCAUAUUUUUUUCAUAUAACUUCUAUUUUACAAAAUUUGUUUCAUAUUUUUUUUUAAAAUUCCAUUUUUUCCUAUAACUUCUAUUUCACAAAAUUUGUUUCAUAUUUUUUUUAAAUUCUAAUUUUUUCCUAUAACUUCCUAAGCCAUUAUACAACAUUAAAUUAAAUUAAGUAACAUGAAACAACAUUAAACAAUAUGAAACAACAUUAAAUAACAUUAACCGACAUAAAAAUUAUACAACACUAACCAACAUGAUUUUUAAAUAAAAUUAAGUUGUAGUUUUUAAAUAAUAAAUUAUGUUUGGCCCUAUGGCCCUUUGGCCCUCGGUUGGAGACGGUUUUUUUUUACAGGGCUAAAACGAGCCCUCUGGCCCUCUGGUUCUCAGUUGGAGACGGAGGCAAAUAUGGCCAUGUACUGUUCAUUAAAAUAUUAAUAUCUUGGAGAAUCUUAGAGGGCCAGAGGGCUAAAACGAGCCCUCUGGCCAGCCAUCGGUUGGAGAUGGCCUAAGAGGGUCUAGGCAGGCGGCCUAGGCAGAUUUAGAUAAAUUUCUUGUAUAUCUUAUAAAUAAGUGCAUAUUAACACUUACAAAAAAUUAUACUUGUAUGAAAUCUAUGGAUAACAUAAUAAAAGAAUGAUAAAAUGAAAAAAGAGUACCCAACAAGUCCAAUUUAAAAACACAUUAACCAUAUAUGCCAUAUAACCAUAAUGAGGAGUAUAGUAGGAUGACACAUGUAUUACAAGUUCACAACUUAGACUUAGAUAGGAUAUUUUUUUUAAAUUUAAAAAAUAAAAAAAAUAAAAAAUAAAAUAAUAAAAUAAUAAAAAAACCACUUAGCCUCCUAGCACUGCCUAGCUCGCCUAACCCGCCUAGAGCCCAGCCAAUUUGCAAGAAAAUGCCUUGGGUCACCACCGCUGAGUGCCUAGGCAAUUUUUUAGAACACUGCUCGUAAUUGAGUGCUGAGCAAAAAUAAGGAUGAGGUCUUCUUUGUGAGGAUCUUAGAGAUUCUCACAUUUUAACUGUUUUGUACGAUCAAUUUUCAUUCAGUACUAUUUGUGUUUAAUUUUAAAUAAAAUUUUAAAAUGAUUUCUGAAUGCAAGAUAUACGAUGAAUGACUAGAAUCGGAUUCCCACAAUUUAUAUCCGGAUGGGAUCCAAAUCCCAAAAACAAGUCGUAAAAGAAAUGUAACAAACAAUUUACUCAAUAAAAUUUUAUUCUCAUUUGUUUUUUGGAAGAUUAUUAAUUUUGAGGUCAACUCAUUCUAAACAAUGCGUUUAUUAAUCACACCUUUUUUUUUAAUAACGAAAUACGUUUUGCUUCUAACAUGAUAAAAAUGAAUUUUCGAGAUCAAUGUCUUUAUUUGAUUUUGCGGUUGCACUUAGGUGGAACCCUAGACUACCUACCUACCUUUUUUGAGGGAUCAAGCCGCUUGUUCUUCAUCAUUUUCAAUGAGUGAAUGACUCACUGAAAAAGAAAGAUUUGGUUAUGCUGAUAAUAGAUUGAUUAUGCAUCCUUCGUAGAAUCAAACUGGCAUAAUUCUAGAUUUUCGAUGAGUGUAUGACUGAAAGAAAUUUUUUAUAUUUUGGUGAAUUUGGUUGAAUGAACUAGGGAUUUGAUUUGAAUUUGGACUUUGUGAUGAAUUUGGUUGAGGUGAACUAGGGAUUUGAUUUGGACUUGUUUUGGUUUUGUGCAUUUCCAUCUAGAUCGAAUCUAGAUUGCCUACACCUUUAGCGGAUCAAAUCUGAUGUAGUUGAAGAUGUUUUGUGUGGCUUUGUGCCAUUUGGAAUAUGAAGUGGCUUUGUGCCAUUUCGACCAAUUCGGUAAUUUUCAUGGGAAUUUAACCUAUUAAUGUGACUUGGUUCACAACUGCUGAAUUUGAGGUAAUUUGCCUCCAUGAUUUUUGAAGAUUCGCAUCCACUAAUGUGACACGGUUCGAAGUUUUCUCCAUGUUUUUCUUUAUUUUGGACUACUUGGAUGUGGUAUGCCUCCGCCAAGCCGUUUCGUUCUUGGUCCUGUUUGAUUCAUUGAGCCUAAGUUUGAAAGCUAUGACCAUUUCCAACCGAUCAAGCCAAAGGGUCAUAGGCCAAAAUAUAGCCAAUUUUGACAGAAAAUCGUCUCCUAUCGAGAGCUAGGCCAAAGGGCUUGUGAACCCCACUAAGCCAUACUUCAUCCAUUAGGCCAGUGGGCUGGCCAAAAAGAGCCAGCUAGCCCGUUUCUAGCAGCCCAAAACAGGGAGAGAAUAGGCGUGCCCCAUCUCACUGAGACCGAUUGCACAGAUUCCAAAGACACGUGUCCUAGCUGAGAACGAAACACACCCUAAAAUCCAUGGAGUAGGAUUCUCUCCCCUCUUUUUUUUCCCUCCCCUUCCCUCCCCUCCUAUUUGAACGGUCACAAUUAAGCUACAUCAACAUCUUAUAUUAAUUUAUUAAAGAAAGAGAAAGAUAAAAUAAAGAAUGUGAGAUGAGGAGAUGGAAAGAAAAGGGUAGAGAAUCAUAAUCCAAAAUCCAUUAAUGUGGACAACUCCUUGCAAGGCAUGUGUCAUCCUUCCUCAGAAACAAUGAUGCCUCCAAAAUAAUAUUCACAUUCUUCUACAUCCUUUCAUCAUUCUAUAUCAUCUUACCUCAUUUUAUUUCAAUUCUUCACAUUCUAUUCUCUUACAUUUUUCAAUAAUCUUUCCUUUAAUAUUUUCAAUAAUUUUCAAAUGGCCACAUCUUCAAUCAAAGAAAGGGCUUAUUCAUUUAACAACAAGUGGCACUCAAAAUACGUCAUAAAACCUUAUUUUAAUUCAAUUAACAAUCUUAAUUCAAUUAAAAUAAUAAAUUAUUGAGGGGGCUAAAAAAUAGCCCCCUUCGGUUAGAGAUGGUUUUUUGUUAAACGGGCUAUGUUUUGGCCUAUGGCCAUUUGGCCCCCUCAGUUGGAGGUGGUAUAAAAUAUAGCCUGACUGUUCAUUAAAAAAUAAUUUCUUGCAUACCUAUAGGGCUAAACAUGGCCUUUUGGCCUCCUUUCAGGCCAUCUCAACCGAUCCGGCCAAAGGGUCAUAGGGCCGAAAAUAGUCCAAAAUGACACGAAAAUCGUCUCCAACAGAGGGCUAGUCCAAAAGGCUUAUGGGCCCCACUGGGCCAAAAAUACAAAAUCAGGCCAACCCGCUGGCCCAAAUAAGCUAGCUAGUUAGCCCUGGGCCGGCCCAACCUUUUAAAAGCAACGGCUACCUGGCAUCAGCAUGACGCCAGCUAGCAAUGGCUAGCUGAUGCCAGGUAACCGUUGGAUUUGAAUUUUUUUUUCCUGACAAAAUUAAAAAAAAAAAAAAUUCCAAUUUUUUUCUAUAAAUACCUAAUUCAUUCCUACACCAUUUCUCACAUUAUUUUCACCAUUCCAUACUAUUUUACACGAUUUCUCUCCUAAAUCAUUUCUUACCUUUUCCAAUAAUCUUUGCUUCAAUUUUUUCAAUAAUUUUCAAAUGGCCAGAUCUGCAUUGAAAUGUAGGGCUUGGACCCGAAAAGAAGAUGAAGCUCUUUGCAGGGCUUAUAAGUGGGUCUCCAAAGAUAGUGUGAAGGGGAGUUCUCAAACAAGUGAAGGUGUUUGGACUCGUACAUCCAAAAAAUACUAUGAGUUCUACAAAAGCACCACUCCACCGAUUUCCCAAAACCACGAGAGUUCUUCAAGAUCGAAAAAACAUCUUCAUCCAAGUUUGAAUAAAUGACAUCAAGCAGUGUUAAAGGCCAAAAGCAGACAUGAAAGUGAAGCCAAUUACUACGACCAAGUAAGUGUUUUCACAAGUUAUUUUAAAUGUUUAAUUGGGUAAAUUACAUAGUAGCUCCUCAGGUUUGAGCUCUAUUGCAAUCUCAUACAACAUCUUUAAAACAUUUCACUUUCAUACCUCAAGUACUAUUUUAUUUCAAUUUCAUACAACCGUUAGAUUUUCCAUCCAUGGAUCUGUUAAAUGCUGACGUGGCUGCCACAUAUAUGACACGUGGCUGCCAAAUGUCUGCCACGUGGCAAAUAAAAUAAUUUUUUAAUUUUUUUUUUUUAAAAAAACAUAUCUGCCAUUUUUUUUUCUCUUUCUUCUUCUUCUUCUCUUUCUCUUUCUUCUUCUCUUUCUCUUUCUUCUUCUUCUAGGUUCGGACCUUUUUUUUUUUUUUUUUUCUUCUUCUUCUUCUUCUUCUCCCUCCUCCUCCUCUUUCUUCUUCUCUUCUUCUUCUUCCUCCUUCUUCUUCUGGGUUCGGUCCCUUUCUUUCUUUUUUUUUUUUUUUCUCUUUCUUCUUCUUCUUCUUCUUCUUCUCUUUCUUCUGGUUCGGACCUCCUUUUUUUUUUCUUCUUUUUCUUCUUCUUCUUCUUCUCCCUCCUCCUCCUCUUCUUUCUUCUCUUCUUCUUCUUCUUCCUCCUUCUUCUUCUGGGUUCGGUCCUUUUUCUUUUUUUUUUUCUUUUUUUUUCUCUUUCUUUUUCUUCUCUUUCUCUUUCUCUUCUUCUUCUUCUCUUUCUUCUUCUUCUUCUUCUGGGUUCGGACCUUUUUUUUUUUUUUUCUUCUUCUUCUUCUUCUUCUUCUUUUCUUCUUUUUUUUCUGGGUUCGGUCCCUUUUUUUUUUUUUUUUUUCUUCUUCUUCUUCUUCUCUUCUUCCUCCUCCUCCUCCUCCUCUUUCUUCUUCUUCCUCUUUCUUCUGGGUUCGGACCCCUUUCUUUUUUCUUUUUUUUUUCUUCUUCUUCUUCUCUUUCUCUUUCUUCUUCUUCUGGGCUCGGACUUUUUUUUCUUUUUUUUCCUUCCAAUUUCAGGUUUUUAAAAAAAAAAUAAAAAAUUAUUUUAUUUGCCACGUGGCAGACAUUUGGCAGCCACGUGUCAUAUAUGUGGCAGCCACGUCAGCAUUUAACAGAUCCAUGGAUGGAAAAUCUAACGGUUGUAUGAAAUUGAAAUAAAAUAGUACUUGAGGUAUGAAAGUGAAAUGUUUUAAAGAUGUUGUAUGAGAUUGCAAUAGAGCUCAAACCUGAGAGGCUACUAUGUAAUUUACCCUAUUUAAUUAUAUUACAUUUAAUUUCAUAAAUUAAUUUCCUUUAAUUUUUGUAAUUAUAUUUUCUAGGUACGCCAAGCGGAGGAAUUGUAUGUCAAGGACAACUCGAAACUCUUUAAUCAACACAGUUGUUGGAGAAUUUAUAAGGGGUGGGUGUUAUUUGAAGAUCCACCUCAAGAAAGAAUUGCUCCUAUGCCGGUGUUCGGAAAUGCAUCCUCAAAUGCAGUUGGGGAUGAAUAUGGAUCUCCUAUCGUUCAAGAAACAAGGGUAGAAAAUCUAUCUUCGGGUGAAGGUUCCAUACCUAGGGCUAUGGGACGAAAUAAGGCCCAAAGGGCAAAGCAAAGGAUGAUUAUGCCUUUCAACAGGAAAUGGAGUCCUCAUUACGAUUAAUGGCGAAGCAAAAUGCCUUUGCCGCGGAAGAAAUGAAUCGUAGGCAUGAAGAACGGGCAAAACAAAUUCAAGAAGAGAUGGAUGAUAGGAACAUGCAAAGGAACACUUCGGAUUACACUUCAAUGAGCAAGACCUAUUUUGAUAGGAAAAAAAGUGAAAUUAUGGUCCAACGGGAGUUGUUUACAUCCGACUAUAAUCCUACAAUGGCGGAUGAUGAUGAUGAUAAUUAUAGACUUUAAAUUUAAGUUGUUGUAGUUUUUAAAUUUAAGUUGUUGUAAUCUUUAAAAUUUAAAUAAUAAAUUAUGUUUGGCCUAUGGCCCUUUGGCCCCCACGGUUGAAGAUGAAUUUUUGUCACAUGGCUAUGUUUGGCCUAUGACCUUUUGACCCCUCGGUUGGAGAUGAUAAGAAAUAUGGUCUGGCAUUGUUGUUACGCCCCGGACCCGGGGUCAACAGGAAAACUCUCGAACCCAAAUCCAGUGCACGAGCUAAAAAUAGAAUUAAAUAAAAGGAAAGUGAAACUGGGUGGAAAAAUAUGAAAUUCCUCUUAUAACGAGAAAUCGAUAAUUCUUUACAAGACUAAAAUAAAUAAAUACAAAAUUAUAUCCUCACCCUUAAUCUGAUCUCAUCCCGUCUACCUUUUCUGACUGUUUAGUUCUUAAACCUACUUAACAAUAGAGGGUUGAGCUUCAACAGCUCAGCAGGGACAUAACCUUAUCACAGUAAAUUGACAAUAUUAAAUUAAGUGUCAUGAAAUCAUAUGGCCAAAUAUCAAAUCAUUAUUGAUCAUGAAUGCACUUGAAACUCUUCGGCUACCCCUGUUAAUUUAUAUAAUAAAACAAGCGGACUUGCACGUUCCAUACUGUAACAUCCCACAUCGCCCAGGGGAGUGAUCCUUAAAUGUAUAUUCUCAUCCCUACCUAGCACGAGACCUUUUGGGAGCUUAUUGGCUUCGGGUUCCGUCGGAACUCCGAAGUUAAGCGAGAACGUGGCCAGAGCACUCCCAUGAUGGGUGACCCACUGGGAAGUUGCUUCUGAGUUUCCAGAAACAAAACCAUGAGGGCGUGUCAGGGCCUAAAGCGGACAAUAUCGUGCUACGGUGGUGGAGUAGGCCCGAGAAGUGUUCCGCCCAGGGCGGGAUGUGACAAAUGGUAUCAGAGCCAAUCCCUGGCCGGAAGUGUGCCGAUGAGGAUGUCGGGCCCCUAAGGGGGGUGGAUUGUAACAUCUCACAUCGCCCAGGGGAGUGAUCCUUAAAUGUAUAUUCUCAUCCCUACCUAGCACGAUGCCUUUUGGGAGCUCACUGGCUUCGGGUUCUGUCGGAACUCCGAAGUUAAUCGAGAACGUGGCCAGAGUACUUUCAUGAUGGGUGACCCACUGGGAAGUUGCUCGUGAGUUCCCAGAAACAAAACCGUGAGGGCAUGGUUAGGGCCUAAAGCAGACAAUAUCGUGCUACGGUGGUGGAGCGGGCCCGGGAAGUGAUCCGCCCCGGGCCGGGAUGUGACACAUACCAUGCAUUUUACCCUUGCAUAGAUGGUUCGAAUAUUCUAUUAUAGAAACUAACCCUCAUAUGAUAUCCCAAGUUCAUUGAUCUCCAGCCUAAAUUACCCACAUCGACAAUUCCUGUCAAUCCUAUUCUAAUGUGCACACCGGGCUCGCCUGGAACUAGUUUCACAAUGAUUAGAUUCAACUACACAAAAGAUCAUUUCAAACUACCCUCAUUUCCAUACUUCCAAUCUUAAGGCUGAAAUUUCAACCACAUCAACAUGAAUGAUGCACAAACAAUGUCAUUUCAUCUUUCACAUGUAUCACAGUACAUUCUCAAUGCAUAGCAUUUCAGCAUUAAUUCCAUAACCAAGAACAAGUAAACACUUAACUGAACCAAUUAGCCAAUUAUUAUCCAAUCACAUUAAUCAACCAAAAAGAUCAAGAAUAUUAUAGCACUUCACGAAAUUGAAUAAAAUCAAUUUCUGUAAAGGUUUGCCGUAUUUCCCCUACCUGGAUUCCAAAGCAUUGCUCCGACUCUCUAUUGCAAGAGUCUACCUUCAACAACUCCUAUCCACAAGUGUAAGAAAUUACUAAAAAAAAUGACAUGAACUUUAAUCCUAGUCAGAAUACUUAAGCUUGCUAAUUACACACUACUAAUUCAAAAGUCAUUUGGUUAAUUUACAACAGCAUGGUCAUCAGUGAAGGAAACUUUUGAACUAGAAUACCUUUAUAAAAUAAGUAAAGGUAUACUUCGAAAUACAUAAGUACAUUAACAUACUUCAGCCAAGCUAUAGAUAAAAGCACUAAUCUGUUAGUAUUAUGAAUGAUGUAAAAGCCCUUUAAUUGGCUAUGGUUUUGGCCCAAUUAGAAUAGAACAAACAGCUUAAUAAAAUAAUCUAAAAGAAAAGAAAAUGAAUAAUAUGAAUAUAUAGUUCAAAUACUACCGUAAUGGUGUACUGAACUUAUUUGGUUCAAAAUAAUAGUAAAUUAGAGUAUAGAAAAUUGAAAUAAAGGAAUUAACGAUUAAAUAAGAAGUAAUACAAAACUUUAUGAAAUUAAUAAGUAUAUACAACACAUAAUUAUAUAUAAUUAUUUUUGAAAAUACAGGUCCUCACAAUUGUUUAUUAAAAUAUUAAUUUCUUAAAUGACUAUAGGGCUAAAAGAGUCUCUAACCCUCUUUUGGUUGGAGAUAAGCCUCAAUUGGAGAUGGUAGCCAUUAUGAAUAAUAAUGAUGACUAAUCGUGACAAACGUUUGAAAUCUACAUGAGUAGGUAAGGUUUUGGCAGUAGGCAGUGGAUGUCUCUUUUUGAUUCCCAUCCACUUGUUGUCCACUUGCUCCGUAAGUGCAGCUUUUCAGUGCCUUUUUUUCUUAAGAAAAUUAAUAAAAAUAAGCUUUAAUUUUUUACAUUUUAAUCAAAAAUCGUUUAUUAAUUUUAUUUAACAAUAAAAAUAAAAAGAAUAAAAAAUAAAAUAAAAAAUAAAAAUAUACAACUCACGCUGGGCGCACGUACCUCCCACCCUUUUACCUCUCUUUCACACUCUCCUUUCUCCCGUUGUCAGCUAUCAUUAAGAGUUUUUUUUAGAAUAAGAAAAAGACUUCAAAUUAAAUUACAUUUCUCAGUUUUAUUUUUGUGGUGUUGUUUCCCAAUAGUAAUUAAGAUGACGAGAGACUUUUCAAUGUGUACAGAAAACGGGUAGUACACUACAUGUCUCUAUACAUGUGGUGAGAUUUUUAUGUUAAAAAUUAUUAACGUAAAAAAUAAAGUUUCUCACCACUUACACAAUAACACGUGGUGUACCACUUGUGUUACGCGCAUAAGAAAUUUUUUCUCCAAGAUGACACCUAAGCUCAAAGAAAUUGGAUGAAGAGUUACAUUUAAUUAAUGCAGGUAUGUAAAAAAGUGAGGAAAUUUUAAUUUGGUAACUGAAAACAACUUUUUAAAUAUAAGGCUAAAUAGCCAAAAUGGUCCCUGAGAUUUGCAUAACUCAUCACUUUGGUCCCUAACAUUUCAAAUCAAUAAAAGUGGUCCCUGAGAUUGUCCACCAUCCAUCAUUUUGGUUCUUCCGUUAUGCUAAAACUCACAAAACCUCACUAUGGUAAAACCCACAAAACCUCGCUAUGGUAAAACCUAAGGUGGGAGAAAAAACUCAUAGACUAAGGAGAAAGGUGAGAAGUUGCAUUAAGUCAAAACUAUACGUCUUCUGGAUGCAAGUAAAAGAGCUUACAAGGGUAUGACCAGCCGAAGAUGGGUGCCUCGUCAAAACCUAGUUAGGUAGUAAAAAACCCAGUGGGAAAAAUGCUAUCGUAGAAAAAAAAGUACAUGAAGAUCAAGUGAGUAUAAUUUUGGAUACUUCCGCAGAGUUUGACAAAAUUUCCAAAUAAGAAUGACAAGCAUUGCAUAUGAUUAGUUAGGCAUACCAAUUCCUCAGACAAGUUUCGAGAAAGUAGACUUCGGCAGUGACGUCGUGUAAAGGUUGGCAAGGUUGUCAAGGAUCGGCUUGCAUAACUUCAAUCUCCUGAUGCUUUGUUGAUGUGGUGUAGAUGCAAUAUCUCUUGGCGUUGACUUCGUUGAUGUAUCAUGUCUUUGUCGAGUUGAUACAUGCUGCAUAGUCUUCAUAGAUUGUCGUUAGGACUCAACGAUGGAUGAAGGCAUUGCAUGUACUUCAAAUAUGCUCAACAAUAGCUCUUAACCAUGUCUCACAUGUGGCAUAGUGAAGUGAGGUGAGUCUUGGAAUGAUUUGAAUAUUUGCAACUAAGGUCACAUCGUGGACCUCCAAGAUAUUGCGGUAUCCCUAACGGUAAAGACAUAGACAUUUGGGGAUGUCCCUUGUGCGGGUUUGAUAAGCAUCUUGCGUCAACAUAACAAACAAGGCUAGGAUCAUUCUGAUGAUCAAGGGGUUAGAUUUGCUCGGCAUAUGUUGGGAUUAGCCCAAAUCCGUAGUACCUUCAGGGUAGCAGAAAAACGUCUUUAUUACCAAUUCAGUGGUUGCAUGUAGGCGCGAUGCUACAUCUUUACUAAUAGAUCAACAUCGAAUGAGAUAUCAUGUCUAACAUAAUGAGCUAAGUACAACAAAGCGUAAAGUUGAACUUAGAUAUGGAACUUUAGAUUCCAUAACCUCUUCAAGGGUCUCAUUUGCAUAUAGCGUAUGGAAGAUCAUAGGUAUACUCAAAAGAUAACACCUUUGGGGUGUAGUUCGAUUGGUAGACCAAAAUAUCAUCAAAACACAAAACAACGCUUGAACUUCAGGUCAAGGCAUAAACGAGUUUUCCUAAGAUCCUCAUCUCCAUUUCCAUCUUUAGGUGUUAGGCAGUUUUCUCAAGCUCUUCUAGAGUCUUAAUGAGAUGCAUGUCAUCGACAUAAACUGUAACUCUAGCAAUUCAGAAUAUGACUUCGUAGUUUAACACGCAAUGGCAUAAUUCAUAUCUCUAAUUGAUCAAACAAUCACUUUGACAGGUAUACCAUAUCUGUCGAAUUGCUUCAAUCCGUAAGUGAACACCUCAAACAAGUUGAGAGGGUGUUCCGUAGUCUAACUAUUUGAACUAGUUCAUGUAAUUAUUCGAGAACUUACAUGUCAAUCUCCGUAUCAAUAUUCCUAUCGAGAAACACUAACCACAUUCAUAAUUCUACAGUCAAUCACAGGGCGUUUGAGAGAAACAUUGCGCUGAAAGUAAUGCUAUCUCAUUCAUCUCAUUACAUUUCUUUUCCUACUUGUAACACAACAGGGUUACCUUGGACAGUGUAGGAACGAAAAGUCCAAACACAUUUUGGUAAGGAAUUUAACCUAGAUUGAAAUCUUGGUUGUCCGAUUAGUUUUACGUUGUCAUUAAUCAACUGAAUGUAAUUCAAAAUUGUCGUUUUUCAUUUAUGUCCGUAGCUACCAUAUAAGUGAAAACAUCAUCGAUGAUAAUCUCAUUCCAAUUCCAUAUCUCAUCCAAACUAGUAUACUAGACCAAGAACUUCAAGUCUCAGGAGUAAUCCGGAUUAAUCUUUUGAGGUGAAAAUUAUUUGAGACAACGAUCAAUUAUGGAUUUAUGUUGUGUCGUGAUCUUCCUCUUCUAGGGAAGUGAAUCUUAUGAACCGAGUAAUACGUCGUGCUUCAAGCCAAGAACGGAUUGAUUGACUAUCUGCCAGGGUACCAAGUUGCCCAACAUGGGCAGCCAACACCCUUUAGGAAUGUUGACUUAACGUCUGUUAAGUACAUCUAUCCUUGCAUGCAUGUUUGCAGCUGGCAUAUGAUCUUGUCACUUUAGCUAGAUCAAAGGAAUGCGUCUAGAGCAACAUUCUGAAAGUUAGAAUACAUCACACAUACUUAUCACACUUGUGUGGAUAUGAGACAUAGUGGGCAACGUGCACGCGAAUUUGCUUCGUUCUACAGGAACUUUGACGUUCUUAUCUCCCUCUAAUAGCGAGAAGACUGUCUCAUUCAAGUGACAAUUCACAAAAUGAGCGAUAAGGAGAUCGCAUGCAAAGGUUGUAAAGAGCUAGUGCGAAGGAAAAUCAUAAUCAACAAAGAUUCACAUCCUUCUUUAAGGAACCAUGUUGGUAUGUUGCGGUGGUGCAAACUUGGCACAUGGAAUGCACACCCAAAUGUGUAAGUAUGGAACGUCAGGUUCGUACCUAGUAACCAACUGUAACAUCGAAUAGGUUAGGUGGCAAUGGCCUCAAAGCAAAUCAACAUAGUUGUGUACAUGAUUGCAUAGCUCUAGAAAUCAAUAGCUUGGUGUGUUCACCAAGGUCCAACGAUCAAUUAAACUGCGCUUUAUGAUCACUCUGCGAGGCUGUUUUGGGGUGAACAUGGGAAUUCAAUGUCCAAUUAUAAACCCAAAAAAAAAUGCAAUACUUCUUGAAAACCUUCGAUAUAAACUUUCUAGUAUUAUCCAGUGUUCUAGACUUUAUGGGAUAAUUAGGGUGGUGGUGCCUUAAAAUUGGCCAAGAGGUUUAGCUGCAGUGUGUGUGGACAAACAUGUGACCAGUUUGUCGAUUCAUCAACCAAAACCAUAAGUAUUUAUAUUGUCCACAUUUUGGUUGGAUUAGUCCACAUAUAUUUCCUUGAAUCCACUAUGAAAAGAAGGCCAUUUCGUAUCUUUGCUAGGGAUGAUUUAGAAAAUCAAAUUUCCCAAACGAGUAAGUUUGGCAAAGUGUGUGCUUGUAAACAUAAGAUCCUUACUUUGGGCAAGGAGAUUCUUCGUGGCAUCAUUGUUCGACCUAAGUUUACCAAACGGUCGUGCCAAGGCAAGUAAACUGCUCGAAUCACCCACCUCUAAGUCGGCUACACAUGGCGUAUCCUAGUGGGGAGGUAGCCUAUUGGCCCUAAAAUAAAACUUUAGGCUCAUUUUGGGGGUGAUGCAAAGACAUUCCACUCUAUGUUUCAUCAAUGGUUUCAUUCAUGAUCAUUGUUCUCUCGAAUAUCCUAAAGACUCAAUGAUUUUCUUCUGGAAUGAGGAGAACAUAAGGUCUCUUAAAUGGUAAUUUAGUACCAUUUAUACAAUGAGAAGCAUGCCAAUGCUCUUAAUUAGGUUGGAUAAACCUGAAGUCGUUGUUAAAGAUGUGAUUUAGGUAUAUAGUUAGUGUGCGUAGUGUCGCAUUCAUCCAGACAACUAACUUUCCCACAUUCGUACCUAAUCACGUUUUUAAUUGAAUUCGGUUAGAAACAUUAUUCAAUUAACUCAUAUUCGAGGACAAUAUCGAUAAGAUUAUCCACAAAGUAAACCAAAGUUACUAAAGAGAUUCUCCCAACAAGGUCAUCCAUGUCAAAAUUCUGGAGCAAAAUUAGUCUCAGAUAUUGAUUACGAGAAUGGUACUCCUUAACGAUAUUGGUAGGGGCAUGAAAAGGUGCAUAACCAAUGAAUCUAUUCCACCAAGACGGAAGUAGAUUCUGCAAGGUUGAGGUUUGGGAACACUAUCCCUUAUUCUUGAAGUUUUAGGUCUUAGAGAGUAUCCUACGCACGUUUGGUGACUUUUAUCAUGGCAUUUAUGAUGAUCAGUUUCUCUUUAUUUGCAAUGGUAUGCAGGCCCUCGUUGAUCUUAAGAAUCUUCUACAACUCAGGACAAUCGCAAUUCUCGAGCCUCUCGUUUUUAAGAACUUUUGUGGGCUGGAUGGUGCCUUGGAGAUAUUGAGGCAGCGACUACAGGGUUUAAUGGUGGUGGAAGACCACAGAGAUUAUGCUAUGGAUGUGCAAAGCAUCCGCAAUGAAGUGCAGCAGAAUUUUGAUAGAAAGCUGGAAGAGGUGGUUGCUAAACUUGUUUUGGGUAGCAAUCUGUUUAGAAAUUUACUUUUGGUCGUAACUACCAUCCUAUUAUUUUCUUUUACUUAGCGUCUUAUGGAAAUGACAGGUAAAGCAAAAGGGUGGCCAGGGGAAGACUGAAAUGCAUAUGUGAGUCUUUCGGCCUCCAAAAUGGUGGAUUGACGUAACAAAGCCACCAGCUGGUUCCGUAAACAACAUUACAUACUUGGGUACAUCUGGUGCGCUUGUAAUUUAUGUAUUGCUCUUGAUCUUGGAUCUGUACAUAGCGAACAAUUGGAAAUCUAGUCUCUUUCCCCAUAAGGGAAACUAAGGUAGGCUUUGGUUGUAACUUGUAGUCAUAAAUUGAUAGGUGAAACUUCAGGGGAAGAAAUGUUAUAUGUUAUACUAUCUUCUUGGAAAAUGAAUUUAUCUUGGCAGUCAGCUUAUCCAAGCAUCUUCGGUGAAAAUGAAGUUUUGUUGUGAAAGUAAUUGACGAUUAGCAAACUAGUUUAUAUGCCUGUGUAAGAUUAGUGGGGGUGAACAUGCUAUGAUUGCGUGAUGGAAGUUAAAUUUUCGCUCAGUAACUAAUAACCCAUGUAUCAUGGUGAAUGGGGAGGAGUAGUUCAACUCCUUAGAAGCUUUCUUUAACUUCUCAACGUACGAUAAUUCCAUAUUCUCACAGAAACAGCAUGUAGAAGCAACAAAGAAAGUUUUGAAGUGAUACUUCUACAGUUUGAUACAAGAGUAAGACUCUUUCAUGAAUGAAGUAGGUGAACAAUUCUUGUUGAACUAUUAAAUAGCAAUUUUUCUCUUUGGUACCUAAAAACACGGACUAUCGUUGCAUGAUUGAUUGCUGGAUUUGAUCUAAAAACUUAAAAGUUUAACCUUUGGAUAUGAUGCUACUGUUCAGGCUAGAUCUGUCCCUCGCACAGCUCCUUGGAGCUCUUGCUUGUCAGGCAAGGUUUGCUGCAAUAUGAACUUGCUGUUAGUUUGAAUGGUGCCUUUGUAGGGCCUUUGUUAGGUCGAGUCAUUUGACAUGAUUAAUGAAAUUGAUUGAGUUAGGGUUGAUUAGAAUUUGGGAUGGACACAAAGCGAGGAAUAGAGAGCAGGAAAAUUUGAAAUUGAAGAUCAAUUAUGUGAAGAAUAGUGCUAACUGUGAGAAUGUGAGGACAAAUAUAGGUGAGCGACCAAACUAUGCAAAGGGCUUAUAAAAGGCUGAGUUGCUCUUCAUAUUAUCAAUAAGUUUUAUGAUGGAACCUUAGCUUUCUUCAUGGUAUCCGAAUAGGUUGACCCACGUGUAAAGCCCAAUAGCCACAUGUGCUCACAUCACCCUAUUUGUAUUAUCCACGUGUUAGGCUUGAAAAUUCGUCACACAUGAGGGGGCAUGUGAGAAUGUGAAGACAAAGUCUCACAUUGGUAAGGGAACAAACCAUACAAGGGCCUAUAAGAGGUGGGACUAUUCCCUAUAUAAUAUAUUGCUAAUUAGUUUUAUGGUGAAAUCUCAACUUUAUUCAGUAAUAGUGCAUGAAGAUGAUGAUAUCAUAAAAAUUAUUAGUGGAGCGUGAGAGGGCUUUCUUAAGUUUAGGAGAGAUAACUAAUAAUGUUUCAAUAGAGAAAAAUAAGAUUUGAUAGAAGAAUUGUAAUAGCCAUGUGGAGCUAGGUGUAUGGAAAGGGAAUUUAUAACCCUUUUGGGGAAAGUAUGGGGGAAUUUUAGUUAUAUAAGGUUUUCUGGUCGAGUGAGUAUUGAAAUAAUUUUUCAGACUCCAUUAAGUUUCAGGUGACUGAUUGUUUACUUCAGUGGUAGUCCAGAGUUCAUGCCCUACGCUAACAGUUUGGGGCAGGACAAUUUUGAUGUGGUGAUUUACAUUUAUGAUAUUUAAAAUCAAUAAAAUUGGUUUGUUAACAAUCAAUCAUUUUAGUCAUUUCAUAAAAAAAUUUCGUUAAAUAAAAAUAAAAUAGCAAAAAUACCAUCAAUUUUUGUCAAAUUAUUUUGGCAUAUUAUUUAUUAAAUUGAAGAGUAUUUUUUUCUCAUUUUGGUCCUUAUUUAACAGAAAUUUUCACGGAAUGACCAAUAUGAUUGAAACUGGACAAACUCAGUAACCACUUCUGUUGCUUUCAAAUCUUAAGGACUAAGUGAGGAGUCAUGACAAUCUCAAUAAUCAUUUUAGCUAAAAAGCUGAAGGUAAAAGCCCAAGAUAAUAUUACCCUUUACCCUUUAAUUUUAAAAAACUUGAAAGGAAAGGGGGCUCAAAAAAAUAAUUUUAAAUUGGAAAACAAAAAUAAAGCAAAUUUGAGGUUCAAAUAGAACCAUCAUAAUUCAUUUGUUUUCUAUUGGAAAAAGGUUUUUUGCCAUCUUGGUCUGUGUUUAACUAGCUUUCUUCUAGUUGAAACCUAAUUUCCCUAAUUCUCUAAUACAUUAGUUUCAAAUGUUUUUUUUUUUUCCCGUCAUUCCUGUAAUCCCAGAUUUAUUUCAAAGUAUUUAGAUUUUUGUAACAAAUGUAUAGUUAUAAUAACUUAUUUACAACUUAAAAUCCAGCCAUCUAAACUUGCAAAUUGUUGCAGCCAUGAGGCUCGUUAAUUAUUUUUUAAUAUUUUUUUUCACUGUUUUCCUAUAUGAUAAAGGGUGGUGCAAUCUACACACCUAACUUUACCUCUCACAUAUCCCUUGUUAAUUACUGUCCUUUCUAUUUUUCAAUUCAUUCGAUCAAUUUCAACUGUACAAUACACAAGCAAAACACAAAAGCGAAUACACCAAUUCUGGUUGAUUUCUUAAGAGAGAGUCAUCAUCCAAACCAGAGUAGUGCUAAAGACUAAUUGGAAAACUAAUCAUUGUCCGUACAACCAACAAAAUCACACUCCCAAAUAGGUUACAAGCAUUCAUCCAAGUUCCAACUAGUACUAGAGAGCAGCAACAGUCUAGAACUCCCAUUUCUUCAUGUCCACGCCGACCGGAGCACUUCCCUCAACCUUUUGUUUCCCACUUCCUUACAGUUUGUCUAAGUCAUUGUCCUGUUCCACUCCCCACAGCAUGUCUUGUCUCCACAGAGCACUUCCCUCAACCUCUUGUUUCCCACUUCCUUCCAGUUUGUCUAAAGCACUGUCCUGACUUCCCUCAGCAUGUCCUGUCUCCUCGGUGCCCUUUUUCGUCUGUAUUCGAAGAGGUGAUAAUUUUCCGCACCUCCAUUAAGUUCUUCCCGCCGCAUCGCUUAGUCUACCCUUUUUCGUUUCGGGGAUGGGUAGUACGGGCUUGACGCUCCAACAACUGGGCUACUGACCCUUAGUGGAACAGAGUUGUCCUCGCUGAAUUCAAGAGAUGUCCAGUGUAAUGGUUCAGCUUUAGCCAGGCGAAUUUCAACUUUGGUGGACAGAACGUCAAAUCUGCACUUUUCAGGCAUUAUCUUUCCAAAUAAGCGAGGCUGAAAAUAAUAUGUAUCUUCACCAGCAACAUCAAUGCUAACACUUAGUAUUUGUUCACCAAAGUCAACAUUAACGUCUUUGGCUGGUAUGCCCUUGGCGAAUAUAGUCACAACCACUUCUUCUGGCUUCUGGUAGAAUUCAUGCCUGUACUUUGGGUUGACAGAUGCUACGGCCAACUCGAAGGGGCCAUAGAUGAACGCCUCCUUUGCACGCUUUUUGAGAUCAGAAGCCAUGGGCGGACAACGGUCCAUGUGGACUGAGGGAGAUGUAAGAGUCUAGAUAAAAAGUAUACAACUAUGGUUAAUUGUUGAUUUCUUUACAUCUUUGAGAUAAGAAACUAAAUACAAUUUAUGGUAUUUAAUAAAAUACAAAAUACGUUGAUUAAUUAAUAAAUUUUUAAUUUAUCGAUUAUUUAAUAUUUUGCUAAAUAAUUGUCUUCCUGGGUCUCGAGGCUAUUAAUUUAAAGAAGUUUAAUUAUAUAGAAAACCAAAAAUAAAAACAGAACAAAAUAUAAAAAUAACCAAACCUAAACUUAGGUGCUAAAAUUUGGCAAAUAUACGAUAUAACUCUAAUAAUUUCGGAAGUACAAACCUCGUCUGAUGAAGUAUUGCUUGGUACGGCACCAAUCUCGUCAUUCCUAGAGUAUGAGUCACCACCAUCACCAUCAUCCCAGACUAGAUUAACUCCUGUUUUCAUUGCUUUCGCUCUCCAACCUGUAACUGCAGAAAUCGAGACUUCGUCCCCACUUUGCAAAGGGAAUACAUCAUUUGAUAAUACACUUUGCAAACGGAGUACACUAUUAGCGAAACCGAGUGUAUAUUCUCCCGGGAUGUGCAAAGUCUUACCCUUGGUAAUAUUUGUAACAGUAAAUCCAGGACAAUACGUUUUGAAAACACAGCAGAGAGUCAAUCCUCUAAAAAUUACGACCAAUAAUUUGAGGCACUUUAAAAUGAACACCAUUGGACUCAUGAAUACCAACAAACUGGAACCACUCUGGAUUAUCAUAAACUCCAUUGAGAAAAAUGCCACCAUGUCCGCAAGAAGUCCAUCCCUAGAUCAUACCAUGUAAAGCCAGAUUAAUUUGUAGAAGCAAUAGUCUUAAUUAUGCAUGCGUGUCAUCAACAGUGCCUCUGUGGGCGUGUGAUAGAAAGUGCAAGAGAAUAUAGCUCUCAGAGAGAGAUCUGUAGGAUGUUCUUCCUAAAACUCAGCAUGUACACGUCAUUCUUAUGCAUAAGUAAUAUAUUCUUGUACAUGCAUGUCUUAUGCGUGUAUGUGUGAGAGAGAGAGAGACCUGUAUGAUGUUCUUCCUAAAAGCAGCAGUGAGAUCGGUGCAGCCUUCCAUAUGAAUCCUCCUCAUAGUGUUUAACGACUUAUGCAAGCCUAGAAUCUCAGUGAGUUCGGGAGAGCAAUUCAGAUGCAGUUCUACCAUACUCGACAUUUCUGAAAAAUUUGGCAUUUUUUCAAGUGCAAUGCACUGAUUCGCUCUCAAGAUUUCCAAAUUUGUUGGUAAAUUCGGGAUUUCAUGAAGACACAUGCAAAAACUCAAAUCUAACAUUUUAAGCUUGGAGAGUCGACUGAGGCUCGGUAGGCUAUAAAACAAAUUGCCAGCAAGCUCCAAUAUUUCUAAAGAAAAUAGACUCCCAAGAUCCUUAGGGAUUGCAUCAUCAGUUAAACCGCAGUUUCCAAGAUCUAAAAGUGUCAAAGAAUUUAAGCCAUGCAAUGAAAGGAGCACAGAUCUCAGGUUCUUCAAUCCUGCUAUCGAGGAUGGUAAUUUCCUUGUCAUUGUAUGGCUUGCUUGAGGUGUUGUCGAUGAUACCAUCUCCCCCUUGUCCUUCAGUUUUAUAAAUCCUGUACAGCCUUUAAGAAUAAGAGUCUCAACUGAUUUUGACU
rnacentral:lncRNA from 1 species